GCUUGAGCACGUAGGUGGGUUUGUAAGUCAGGUGUGAAAGCCUUCUGUUCAACGGAAGAAUUGCAUCUGAAACUACAAGUCUUGAGUGUAGGAGGGGAGAAUGGAACUUCUGGUGGAGCGGUGAAAUCCGUAGAUAUCAGAAGGAACGCCGGCGGCGAAAGCGAUUCUCUGGCCUAUUACUGACACUCAGUGUGCGAAAGCUAGGGGAGCAAACGGGAUUAGAUACCCCGGUAGUCCUAGCCGUAAACGAUGGGCACUAAGUAGAGGGGAUUACCGACGUUCUCUCUGCCGUAGCUAACGCAUUAAGUGCCCCGCCUGGGGAGUACGGCCGCAAGGCUAAAACUCAAAAGAAUUGACGGGGGCUCGCACAAGCGGUGGAGCAUGUGGCUUAAUUCGAUGCAACGCGAAGAACCUUACCGGGGCUUGACAUGGUAGAAGUAGGAACCCGAAAGGGUAACGAACGGUAUCCAGUCCGUGACUAUCACAGGUGUUGCAUGGCUGUCGUCAGCUCGUGUCGUGAGACGUUGGGUUAAGUCCCCUAACGAGCGAAACCCUUGUUUUUAGUUACCAGCGGGUUAUGCCGGGUACUCUAGAAAGACUGCCGUCGUCAAGACGGAGGAAGGUGGGGAUGACGUCAAGUCAUCAUGGCCCUUAUGCCCCGGGCUGCACACGUGCUACAAUGGUCGGUACAAACGGAAGCGAAGCCGAGAGGUGAAGCGAAUCCAAGC
rnacentral:rRNA from 1 species